rnacentral:misc_RNA from 1 species
AAAGUCGUAACAAGGUUUCCGUAGGUGAACCUGCGGAAGGAUCAUUAACACGUAUCCAACGUUAAAACAACCCUGUGAACCUUUAGCGUGCUCUUGCAGCCCAUGAAAGCAGCAAUCCCUGGUAAAUCAUUGUUGACCAGCUAUUGAGUCAGGGACCUCUGCCGAUGAGAAGUUACAGUUGCAAUUGAGCGCUUGCUUAAGUGACCUGGCAUCCCCAAGCAAUCAAUGUCUGAAAGUGUCAUUGGUUGUGUAAGGGUGGCGCAGUAAACGAUUGCUAGAGGCCCACACGGCCGGCAACCGGGUCACCGGGCUCACGCCCCUUAACCAACCCCAAUGUGUCUGAACCGCUGGUUGGUAACGCGCCAGCACAAAAACCGAACAACUGUUAACAAUGGAUAUCUUGGUUCUC